GACGAACGCUGGCGGCGUGCUUAACACAUGCAAGUCGAACGGAAAGGCCUGCUUUCCCUUGUGGAUUGCGGGUACUCGAGUGGCGAACGGGUGAGUAACACGUGAGUUAUCUGCCCCCAACUUGGGUAUAAGCCUGGGAAACUGGGUCUAAUUCCCGAUAGGACUGCAGGGUGGUGCCUGUGGUGGAAAACGAUUUUCUAGUGGUUGGGGAUGAGCUCGCGGCCUAUCAGCUUGUUGGUGGGGUAAUGGCCUACCAAGGCGGCGACGGGUAGCCGGCCUGAGGGGGUGGACGGCCACAUUGGGCAUGAGAGACGGCCCAGAAUCCUACGGGGGGCAGCAGUGGGGAAUAUUGCACAAUGGGCGGAAGCCUGAUGCAGCGACGCCGCGUGGGGGAUGACGGCCUUCGGGUUGUAAACUCCUUUCGACCGCGAGGAAGCCACCUGGUUGGAAGGGUGGUGACGGUAGUGGUAGAAGAAGCACCGGCUAACUACGUG
rnacentral:rRNA from 1 species